UUAAAUGAUAGCCAGUUCUCCUUAGCCUCGGUAGGGAUUGAGCAGGCAUUAACCCUUUGUGAACUGUAAUCUGUACUUGGGUACACUUACUCUUAGGGAGACGGUACCCGACAUUAUAAACCCCCUAUAUGUUUAACUGAAUAGAUCUAAGAGAAA
rnacentral:misc_RNA from 1 species